UGUCAAGAUAUGGGAAUCGCGAACCCACGACCUUCCGCUUACCGGGCAGAUGCCAUGACCACUAGGCUACCCUGGAC